AUAGCAUUGCUCAUUGCUCUUGUCAAACCUCUUCUUUUCACCUCUAAGGUUUCCUUGACCACCAUGUUUAUUGCAACUUCUCUCACCCUGUUAACAAGUCGAAUUGUUUGAAUUUUGGGACUCCCUUCCACCAAAAUUCUGAAAAUUCCCUUUGCUAUUCAUGGGUCAUUUUCCUUUUGAUCGCUUGUCCUUCUCGUUGAAACGAGCUUG
rnacentral:lncRNA from 1 species